GACGAACGCUGGCGGCGUGCUUAACACAUGCAAGUCGAACGGAAAGGCCCUGCUUUUGUGGGGUGCUCGAGUGGCGAACGGGUGAGUAACACGUGAGUAACCUGCCCUUGACUGUGGGAUAACUUCAGGAAACUGGGGCUAAUACCGGAUAGGAGCUCCUGCUGCAGGGUGGGGGUUGGAAAGUUUCGGCGGUUGGGGAUGGACUCGCGGCUUAUCAGCUUGUUGGUGGGGUAGUGGCUUACCAAGGCUUUGACGGGUAGCCGGCCUGAGAGGGUGACCGGCCACCUUGGGACUGAGAUACGGCCCAGACUCCUACGGGGGGCAGCAGUGGGGAAUAUUGCACAAUGGGCGGAAGCCUGAUGCAGCAACGCCGCGUGCGGGAUGACGGCCUUCGGGUUGUAAACCGCUUUCGCCUGUGACGAAGCGUGAGUGACGGUAAUGGGUAAAGAAGCACCGGCUAACUACGUG
rnacentral:rRNA from 1 species